rnacentral:rRNA from 1 species
UCAAUAAGCGGAGGAAAAGAAACCAACAGGGAUUGCCUCAGUAACGGCGAGUGAAGCGGCAACAGCUCAAAUUUGAAAUCUGGCCCUUUCAGGGUCCGAGUUGUAAUUUGUAGAGGAUGUUUCGGGUGUGGCUCCGGUCUAAGUUCCUUGGAACAGGACGUCAUAGAGGGUGAGAAUCCCGUAUGUGACUGGUAGCCUACGCUCAUGUGAAACUCCUUCGACGAGUCGAGUUGUUUGGGAAUGCAGCUCAAAAUGGGUGGUAAAUUUCAUCUAAAGCUAAAUAUUGGCCAGAGACCGAUAGCGCACAAGUAGAGUGAUCGAAAGAUGAAAAGCACUUUGGAAAGAGAGUUAAACAGUACGUGAAAUUGUUGAAAGGGAAGCGCUUGCAACCAGACUUGCAUGUAGCCGAUCAACCGGUGUUCUCACCGGUGCACUCGGUUACGUUCAGGCCAGCAUCGGUUUCGACGGUUGGAUAAAGGCCUUGGGAAUGUAGCUCCUCUCGGGGAGUGUUAUAGCCCAGGGUGCAAUGCAGCCUGUUGGGACCGAGGACCGCGCUUCGGCUAGGAUGCUGGCGUAAUGGUUGUAAGCGACCCGUCUUGAAACACGGACCAAGGAGUCUAACAUCUAUGCGAGUGUUUGGGUGUCAAACCCAUACGCGUAAUGAAAGUGAACGGAGGUGAGAACCCUUAAGGGUGCAUCAUCGACCGAUCCUGAUGUCUUCGGAUGGAUUUGAGUAAGAGCAUAGCUGUUGGGACCCGAAAGAUGGUGAACUAUGCCUGAAUAGGGUGAAGCCAGAGGAAACUCUGGUGGAGGCUCGCAGCGGUUCUGACGUGCAAAUCGAUCGUCAAAUUUGGGUAUAGGGGCGAAAGACUAAUCGAACCAUCUAGUAGCUGGUUCCUGCC